rnacentral:rRNA from 1 species
UACGAAGGGGGCUAGCGUUGCUCGGAAUCACUGGGCGUAAAGGGUGCGUAGGCGGGUCUUUAAGUCAGGGGUGAAAUCCUGGAGCUCAACUCCAGAACCUGCCUUUGAUACUGAAGAUCUUGAGUUCGGGAGAGGUGAGUGGAACUGCGAGUGUAGAGGUGAAAUUCGUAGAUAUUCGCAAGAACACCAGUGGCGAAGGCGGCUCACUGGCCCGAUACUGACGCUGAGGCACGAAAGCGUGGGAGCAAACAGGG